AGUAAGUUCAUUCUAUUCAAAUUAGGUAUCCUUUGGAAUAGGAAACGUUUUCAGCCAUUGUACAUUAUUGAACUUUUAUUUUGUCUACCGUGUACAAAGUACCUGUGAGAUGGGGAUACAAAGAAGGGGCAACUGAGACAAACAGGUGUUGAGAAAUUUGCUCAAGAUUACACAACCAAGAUGUAGUGAAGCUGGGAGAGGAACCCAGACAAUCAGCCUCUGGAGUCCUUUCUGUGUACAUGGACUUGAGAGAGCACUAAUGACCACCUUACGCAGACCUAUAAGGCCAGGCUAAGGAGCUUGAAUUUUUCCUGCCAUUCUGACGGUGGAGAAAUGGAUAUGGGCAGUUCAGCCACCUCACACCAUCACACUCUCUUUUGAGAGCGGUCUUGGAAACCAGCCAGAUUGCAUUGUUGUCCUUCUGUCAAUUACAAGUGUGCCAGACACCCAAAGCAUUGGGGAGGAAGUGCAAUUAUUAGAAGCUACCCAAGAGACUAUCCCAAUGUCAUCCCUGACUUGCCAGGUGACCUUUAGAAAAUCAAAUGUGUAAAAGAGGGAUGAUAAAUUGUUCUCUAGGCCAAUCAUGCAAAUGAGUAGAAACACCAAAGGAGAAAAAAGUUAGGGAAAGGAGAAUUCCAAAGAAACCAAUUUUUGUUCAUGGAAGAACUGUCUUCUAAUACAAAGAGAACCAUUCCCAAAUAAUGGGUAAAAUCCUUCCCCCAGAUAUUGGUCAUAAUUUACCAACCUACUCCUGUUCAUGUCUGUUAAUCCCAAAUGCCUUCUUCCUGCCAAAACCCAUGUAUCUAACACCUAUUUUUUCAUUUUUGGUGAAGCGUUAAUGGUUUUAUAAAAUAACUUCUAAGAUUCUUUACCCCAAUGCCAGAAAAGCCUUUAUUUUCCCUUGGACAUAGGGCUGUGGGGAUGAGAGUGAGAACAUAAAUGGGAAAGCAGAAAAAUCUAUUUAUUUAUUAUUCAUGUGUCUAUGGAUAUAGCAACUCUAUUGGCCUGGUUGUGGUCUGACACUGAAGGGAUUAUAUUUUCAGAGCAAAUAUUAAAGGGAGAAAUUAUUCUUAGUCAUCAAAGGAUUGGCCUUCUAAGAAUGUGUCCCAGUAAGAAAUACUUUGAGCUACAUAAAGAGUUGGGUAAAAAGAAAGCCAUCAUGAAUUGAACACCA